rnacentral:rRNA from 1 species
GUGUCAGCAGCCGCGGUAAUACGUAGGACCCGAGCGUUGUCCGGAUUUACUGGGUAUAAAGGGUGCGUAGGCGGCCUUGUGCGUCAGAGGUGAAAUCUCCGGGCUUAACCCGGAGGGUGCCUUUGAUACGGCAGGGCUUGAGUGCGAGAGAGGAUGAUGGAAUUCCUGGUGUAGCGGUGAAAUGCGUAGAUAUCAGGAGGAACACCGGUGGCGAAGGCGGUCAUCUGGCUCGCAACUGACGCUGAGGCACGAAAGCGCGGGGAUCAAACAGGAUUAGAUACCCUGGUAGUCCGCGCCCUAAACGAUGUAUGCUUGGUGUUGGACCCGCAAGGGUUCAGUGCCGUAGGGAAUCUGAUAAGCAUACCACCUGGGGAGUACGAUCGCAAGGUUGAA